AAUCUAUAUCAAUCCACACACUGCGAACCAUUUUGUUGUGGCCACUCGGGGGAUGAGAGUUCGUAUGCACAUGCACACAAGCCCUCCUCCUCUGGGGUGUGGUUCGUACGGCACUCGUGGCGUACAAACCACUAUCGCCGCCUUGCUAAGCAAGAGGUGAUGGCCCUAACUGCUAACCACCAACUCCAAACCUAACCAUAAUUAAAACCGAGUGUUCAGCUUAGAGCUGACUCUCACCAACCAAGACAACUCUCAACAACGGAUAUCUUGGCUCUCAGAUCGAUGAAGAACGCAGCGAAAUGCGAUACGUAGUGUGAAUUGCAGAAAUACGUGAAUCAUCGAAUCUUUGAACGCAAAUUGCGCUCGAGGCUUCGGCCAAGAGCAUGUCUGCCUCAGCGUCGGGUUAAUACUCAAUGCAAUGCACAUGCAUGUGUGUACUGCAUUGGAUCUGGCUGUCUCGGUGCUUACUACUAAUGCCGGGUCAGCUGAAGUAUGCAGAUGCUGAACCAUGGACCGUUCAUCGGGCCUCUACUGGGUAGGCAUAACACACCUUUGGUUGUUAGCUGCAAUGCUUUAGUAGAUGGCUUCGGGUACUGUGUUUGGCACAAAGCAGGAGUACUGCUUCAUGCAGUACAACCCCCCCAUCAUUUUCUCGACCUGAGCUCAGGCAAGA
rnacentral:sRNA from 1 species